rnacentral:rRNA from 1 species
CGCCCCUUAGAGUUUGAUCCUGGCUCAGAUUGAACGCUGGCGGCAGGCCUAACACAUGCAAGUCGAACGGUAACAGGAAGCAGCUUGCUGCUUCGCUGACGAGUGGCGGACGGGUGAGUAAUGUCUGGGAAACUGCCUGAUGGAGGGGGAUAACUACUGGAAACGGUAGCUAAUACCGCAUAAUGUCGCAAGACCAAAGAGGGGGACCUUCGGGCCUCUUGCCAUCGGAUGUGCCCAGAUGGGAUUAGCUAGUAGGUGGGGUAACGGCUCACCUAGGCGACGAUCCCUAGCUGGUCUGAGAGGAUGACCAGCCACACUGGAACUGAGACACGGUCCAGACUCCUACGGGAGGCAGCAGUGGGGAAUAUUGCACAAUGGGCGCAAGCCUGAUGCAGCCAUGCCGCGUGUAUGAAGAAGGCCUUCGGGUUGUAAAGUACUUUCAGCGGGGAGGAAGGCGGUGAGGUUAAUAACCUCAUCGAUGACGUACCCGCAGAAGAAGCCCGGUACUCG